rnacentral:rRNA from 1 species
CCUACGGGAGGCAGCAGUGAGGAAUAUUGGUCAAUGGGCGAGAGCCUGAACCAGCCAAGUCGCGUGAGGGAUGACUGCCCUAUGGGUUGUAAACCUCUUUUGUAUGGGGGAAAUAAUCUUUACGAGUAGAGUGAUGACAGUACCAUACGAAUAAGCAUCGGCUAACUCCGUGCCAGCAGCCGCGGUAAUACGGAGGAUGCGAGCGUUAUCCGGAUUUAUUGGGUUUAAAGGGUGCGUAGGCGGCAUUAUAAGUUAGUGGUAAAAUAUUGGGGCUUCACCUCACUACUCCAUUAAUACUGUAGAGCUAGAGAGCAGACGAGGUAGGCGGAAUACGUUGUGUAGCGGUGAAAUGCAUAGAUAUAACGUAGAACACCGAUAGCGAAGGUAGCUUACCAGACUGUAACUGACGCUGAUGCACGAGAGCAUGGGUAGCGAACAGGAUUAGAUACCCCAGUAGUC